rnacentral:rRNA from 1 species
UACGUAGGAGGCGAGCGUUGUCCGGAGUUACUGGGCGUAAAGGGUGCGCAGGCGGCGGAGCGCGUGGCGAGAUGAAAUCUCCUGGCUUACCUGGGAGAGUGGUCGCCAGACGGCUUCGCUUGAGGGUCGGAGAGGGGCGUGGAAUUCCGGGUGGAGCGGUGAAAUGCGUAGAGAUCCGGAGGAACACCGACGGCGUAGGCAGCGCCCUGGACGACACCUGACGCUGAGGCACGAAAGCUGGGGGAGCAAACAGG